GAAUCGUUAAGGUUUCUUAAACCCUAAUCCUAGGAGCGAUACAGGGAAGAUUGGUAUGGCCCCUGCGGCAAGGAUGACACGCACAAGUCGAGACGUGUACCCCAAAAGA
rnacentral:snRNA from 1 species